AACCCGUAGAUCCGAACUUGUGUUGGGUUUGGUAACAUGAGCUCGGCACUCGGGUAGA
rnacentral:pre_miRNA from 1 species